GAGGAGCCCUGCCCUGCACUUCAAGGUGUUUCCAUUCAGUGAUCACUGAACACAGACUCACCAUGGAGUUGAGGCUGAGCUGGGUUUUCCUUGUCGCUCUUUUAAAAGGUGUCCAGUCUGAGGUGAAGCUGGUGGAGUCUGGAGGAGGUUUGGUGCUGCCUGGGGGAUCCUUGAAACUCUCCUGUGUAGCCUCUGGAUUCACCUUCAGUAGUACCUACAUGAGUUGGGUCCGUCAGACUCCAGAGAAGAGGCUUGAGUGGCUCUCAUACAUCAGUGGGAGUAGUAGUGAUAUAAAAUACGCAGAUUCUGUGAAAGGCCGAUUCACCACCUCCAGAGACAAUGCCAAGAGCACCUUGUAUCUGCAAAUGAGCAGUCUUAGAACUGAAGACACAGCCAUCUAUUACUGUGUAAGAGGCACAGUGAAUGAAGGGUGGUGUGAGCUCAGACAAAAACCCCCUAUGGGAGGCUCAGGCCCAGCAGGGGGCGCUGAUGAUACACUGAACCCAGUUUCACCCCAGAGCAGGACAGAGGGAUAUGAGAAGAUGGACUCCUGGACCAUGUCUAGACUGACUUUCUAUGUCAGAACAGUUUUCACAGGGCUCCUGUCUAGAAGAAUGGUCUGUACUAACCUUUGA